GCCGGGGUAGCUCAAUCGGAAGAGCGUGUGGCUUUUACCAAAGAGUAAUCAAAACUACCUCAAGGUCGCGGGUUCGAGCCCCGCCUCCGGCG